rnacentral:rRNA from 1 species
GACGAACGCUGGCGGCGUGCUUAACACAUGCAAGUCGAACGAUGAAGCUUGAGCUUGCGCCAGUGGAUUAGUGGCGAACGGGGGAGUAACACGUGAGCAAUCUGCCCUUGACUCUGGGAAAAAUGCGGGAAACUGUAGCUAAUACCGGUUAUGACACCUUGGGGCAUCCCGAGGUGUGGAAAGAAUUUCGGUCAAGGAUGAGCUCGAGGCGUAUCAGCUUGUUGGUGAGGUAACGGCUCACCAAGGCGAAGACGGGUAGCCGGCCUGAGAGGGUGACCGGCCACACUGGAACUGAGACACGGUCCAGACGCCUACGGGAGGCAGCAGUGGGGAAUAUUGCACAAUGGGCGAAAGCCUGAUGCAGCAACGCCGCGUGAGGGAUGACGGCCUUCGGGUUGUAAACCUCUUUUAGCAGGGAAGAAGCGAAAGUGACGGUACCUGCAGAAAAAGCACCGGCUAACUACGUGCCAGCAGCCGCAGUAA